UUUAAAUUGAGAGUUUGAUCCUGGCUCAGGAUGAACGCUGGCGGCGUGCUUAACACAUGCAAGUCGAGCGAUGAAGUUUCCUUCGGGAAACGGAUUAGCGGCGGACGGGUGAGUAACACGUGGGUAACCUGCCUCAUAGAGUGGAAUAGCCUUCCGAAAGGAAGAUUAAUACCGCAUAAUGUUGAAAGAUGGCAUCAUCAUUUAACCAAAGGAGCAAUCCGCUAUGAGAUGGACCCGCGGCGCAUUAGCUAGUUGGUGGGGUAAC
rnacentral:rRNA from 1 species